AUUGAACGCUGGCGGCAGGCCUAACACAUGCAAGUCGAACGAGUGGCGGACGGGUGAGUAAUGUCUGGGAAACUGCCUGAUGGAGGGGGAUAACUACUGGAAACGGUAGCUAAUACCGCAUACCAUCGGAUGUGCCCAGAUGGGAGUAGCUAGUAGGUGGGGUAACGGCUCACCUAGGCGACGAUCCCUAGCUGGUCUGAGAGGAUGACCAGCCACACUGGAACUAGGACACGGUCCAGACUCCUACGGGAGGAAGCAGUGGGGAAUAUUGGACAAUGGGCGCAAGCCUGAUGCAGCAAUGCCGCGUGUAUGAAGAAGGCCUUCGGGUUGUAAAGUACUUUCAGCAGUGAGGCGUUACCCGCAGAGGAAGCACCGGCUAACUCCGUGCCAGCAGCCGCGGUAAUAC
rnacentral:rRNA from 1 species